rnacentral:rRNA from 1 species
UACGUAGGUGGCAAGCGUUGUCCGGAUUUAUUGGGUUUAAAGGGUGCGUAGGCGGCCCUGUAAGUCAGUGCUGAAAUAUCCCGGCUUAACCGGGAGGGUGGCAUUGAUACUGCAGGGCUUGAGUGAAGUCGAGGUAGGCGGAAUUGACGGUGUAGCGGUGAAAUGCUUAGAUAUCGUCAAGAACACCGAUAGUGAAGACAGCUUACUAGGCUUAUACUGACGCUGAGGCACGAAAAGUGUGGGGAUCAAACAGG